AGCUUGCUUUGAUCAUCUUAGUGGCGGACGGGUGAGUAACACGUGAGCAACCUGCCUUUCAGAGGGGGAUAACGUUUGGAAACGAACGCUAAUACCGCAUAACGUAUACGGAUGGCAUCGUCUGUAUACCAAAGGAGCAAUCCGCUGAAAGAUGGGCUCGCGUCCGAUUAGCUAGAUGGUGAGGUAACGGCCCACCAUGGCGACGAUCGGUAGCCGGACUGAGAGGUUGACCGGCCACAUUGGGACUGAGACACGGCCCAGACUCCUACGGGAGGCAGCAGUGAGGGAUAUUGGGCAAUGGGGGAAACCCUGACCCAGCGACGCCGCGUGAGGGAAGACGGUCUUCGGAUUGUAAACCUCUGUCUUUGGGGACGAAAAAGGACGGUACCCAAGGAGGAAGCUCCGGCUAACUACGUGCCAGCAGCCGCGGUAAUACGUAGGGAGCGAGCGUUGUCCGGAAUUACUGGGUGUAAAGGGAGCGUAGGCGGGAAGGCAAGUUGGAUGUGAAAACUGUGGGCUUAACCGACAGACUGCAUUCAAAACUGUUUUUCUUGAGUGAAGUAGAGGCAAGCGGAAUUCCUAGUGUAGCGGUGAAAUGCGUAGAUAUUAGGAGGAACACCAGUGGCGAAGGCGGCUUGCUGGGCUUUUACUGACGCUGAGGCUCGAAAGUGUGGGGAGCAAACAGGAUUAGAUACCCUGGUAGUCCACACC
rnacentral:rRNA from 1 species